rnacentral:lncRNA from 1 species
GUUGGGGGAUACCCACCGACCGACCGACCGUCUGUCGGAGGGCCCGACCUGGCAGCCCGGCCGACUAACCGACGACCCGACGGACGACUCUGCCUGGCCGAUCAUAAGUCGGGCGACAGGCCGACGGACGCCAUCAGCGGCUAACUGCGGCCAUUCCACGGUCCAUUCCCGACCGACUAAACCCAGAGGUCCGUUAGCCGACCCACAUGAAGCUCGCCGACCGACGGAGGAGUCCGACGCCACUCUGCUGGCCACCGACCCUGGGUCGGCCGACUCCACCAACCGCCGUACGGCCGCCAGACGUUGUCAGCUCUGACACGGACAUGCGGCACGGUCACCUAGGGGCGUUGUCCCGCCGAGAACCGGGUCAACCCUGGAGAUUAGACGGCUACACGGCGACGUGACAUUUUCACGGCGGCUCUGACAGCCUACAGUGAGUUGACAGUUCCUCACUUGUCCGCGCCAUUAAUGAUGGCGCCAUACCGUGCUCCACUAUAUAUACCGAGGAAGGCAACANNNNN